rnacentral:tRNA from 1 species
GGGAACUUAGCUCAGUUGGUAGAGCGUAUGAUCGUUAAUCAUGAUGUCACUGGUUCGAAUCCAGUAGUUCUCG